rnacentral:tRNA from 1 species
GCCCGGUUAGCUCAGUUGGUAGAGCAAACGCUUGAUAAGCGUUAGGCCACUGGUUCAAGUCCAGUACCAGGCACCA